AGCUGUGCUUAUAUAACGCAUAAGUGGAAUCAAAGUCACAAUAUUUCAAGGAAGAAAUAUCACUAGCGUCUCACUGAUGAUGAAGCGGCGGCUAAACCAAGAUCGGUUUAGUCCAAUGCAGUGGGUUCCAGGAAGGCUCCCGGAUGGCGUCGUGGGAACAGCUUUGAGACCAGCCAGCGGACUGUGGAUUUCCAGGACUCGGGAGAUGCUGAUGGAGUCCAUGUAGCUGCCAAGCCGAGAUCAAGCAGCUAAGAAUUAAUUACACGGGACAGAUGAGGACGAUUCUAGCUUCUGUGACUUUCUGUCUGAAACACUGCUGGAUGUUUAAUGUUUUGAUCUCCAGAUUCUAAAAGAGCUUUUCUUUCCCCUCUUUUAGGAUGUAUACAACUUUGAGCAGUUUGAUACAUUCUUCAUUGCAAACAGCUGCGAAGCAUUUAUAUUUUCUCCCUCCCUGAUCCCUCCAGGAUUUGGAAACUCCGAGUGAGUAUUCUCAUUUUCAUGGCGACACAGUUAUUUCCAUACGUUCAAUAAAAAUCUGUUCUCCUUGGAACCGGACAUCAUUGGAAACCAGCUGCCUGAGAGAAGUGAAAUCUUAAACAAAUAUCCAAUCUGAGAUUCCUACGAAAACUUCUAGCAGAGCAAACCCACAAAAAGGAAAAGGAAAAAGCCCCAUAUGGUCGAUCUCUCUUCUUGCUGCACUUACUUAAAU